CCUACGGGAGGCAGCAGUGGGGAAUAUUGCGCAAUGGGCGGAAGCCUGACGCAGCGACGCCGCGUGAGGGAUGACGGCCUUCGGGUUGUAAACCUCUUUCAGCAGGGACGAAGCGUGAGUGACGGUACCUGCAGAAGAAGCACCGGCCAACUACGUGCCAGCAGCCGCGGUAAUACGUAGGGGGCUAGCGUUGUCCGGAUUCAUUGGGCGUAAAGAGCGUGUAGGCGGCCAGGUAGGUCAGCUGUGAAAACUGGAGGCUCAACCUUCAGACGUCGGCUGAAACCAUCUGGCUAGAGUCCGGGAGAGGAGAGUGGAAUUCCUGGUGUAGCGGUGAAAUGCGCAGAUAUCAGGAAGAACACCCGUGGCGAAAGCGGCUCUCUGGAACGGUACUGACGCUGAGACGCGAAAGCGUGGGGAGCGAACAGGAUUAGAUACCCGUG
rnacentral:rRNA from 1 species